rnacentral:rRNA from 1 species
UGGGGAAUAUUGCACAAUGGGCGCAAGCCUGAUGCAGCCAUGCCGCGUGUAUGAAGAAGGCCUUCGGGUUGUAAAGUACUUUCAGCGGGGAGGAAGGGAGUAAAGUUAAUACCUUUGCUCAUUGACGUUACCCGCAGAAGAAGCACCGGCUAACUCCGUGCCAGCAGCCGCGGUAAUACGGAGGGUGCAAGCGUUAAUCGGAAUUACUGGGCGUAAAGCGCACGCAGGCGGUUUGUUAAGUCAGAUGUGAAAUCCCCGGGCUCAACCUGGGAACUGCAUCUGAUACUGGCAAGCUUUAGUCUCGUAGAGGGGGGUAGAAUUCCAGGUGUAGCGGUGAAAUGCGUAGAGAUCUGGAGAAAUACCGGUGGCGAAGGCGGCCCCCUGGACGAAGACUGACGCUCAGGUGCGAAAGCGUGGGGAGCAAACAGG